GUAGGUGAACCUGCGGAAGGAUCAUUACUGCUUGCUCGCGGCGCCGCGCGGGAGACCGUGCGGCGUCGGGCAUGCCACCCUUGCCUAUGUACACCCCAUCGUCCCUUCCCCUCGGCGGGCUCGCCCGCCGCCGGGGCACGUAAACCACCUUGCAUGAAGCAUCAAACCUUCUGAAUAAACAUAAACAAUCACAACUUUCAACAAUGGAUCUCUUGGUUCUG
rnacentral:misc_RNA from 1 species